CUUAUGCAGAGUGGUGGAGGGACCGGCCCUGUGAAACCCGGCAACCUGCUUUAGUGCAAGGUGCUAAUUCCUGCGGAUUUUCCGAGAUAUAAG
rnacentral:ncRNA from 1 species